GGGGACCGCCAAUUUGGUCGUUGAUUCCGUUACAGGCUUAUCGUAUUGCUUGAGAUUAGUUAUGGGUCAACGUGUACACAUGGGUGGAUGUCGUCGCGCCACGACGGCUGCGAAACGUGGUCCGGGUGAUUCGGUCAGCCUCGAUUUCGGCGUGUCCCGCUGUGGAGCCAAAAUUGAUCCCGUCGGUCCUCGAGACGUUGUCGGGGGGACAAGAUUGGAUACACGAGAUUUGAGCACGUGGUCGACAGCCUUCCCGCCUCCGCUGUCAGACGGCGCCCGCCGUCACGUGCUCGGGCGUACCCUCAUGAACCGCCCCGGCGGGCCCGACCGCAUCCCGCCUCCCACCUGCGUCGGUGUCAUUCGUAUCCCGUGAUGCCGGCGGACCCCACCGGCCUGCUCCCUUCGGGGCCCACGCACCGAUGCCCU
rnacentral:lncRNA from 1 species